CGAUGUGUGAUGUUUCUUUUAUUUUAAGGAAAGGUGCUGCUUAACUCCUCAGCUGCUGAGUUACGUGAAGUGAGACGCUGUGCAGAGCAUUGACGCCUCAAUGCCUGAUCUGCCAAGUGGAGGAUUUUUAAGGAAGGCUGCAGUUACUAUCUUUUGCUAGUGAGAGACAUGGCUGUCAUAAGAAAACACUCUAA